UGGGGAAUAUUGCACAAUGGGCGCAAGCCUGAUGCAGCAACGCCGCGUGAAGGAAGACGGUUUUCGGAUUGUAAACUUCUGUUCUUAGUGAAGAAGAAUGACGGUAGCUAAGGAGCAAGCCACGGCUAACUACGUGCCAGCAGCCGCGGUAAUACGUAGGUGGCAAGCGUUGUCCGGAAUUACUGGGUGUAAAGGGAGCGCAGGCGGGGGAACAAGUCAGUUGUGAAAUCCAUGGGCUUAACCCGUGAACUGCAGUUGAAACUGUUCUUCUUGAGUGAAGUAGAGGUUGGCGGAAUUCCGAGUGUAGCGGUGAAAUGCGUAGAUAUUCGGAGGAACACCGGUGGCGAAGGCGGCCAAGCUGGGCUUUUGAUCUGACGCUGAGGCUCGAAAGUGUGGGGAGCAAACAGGAUUAGAUACCC
rnacentral:rRNA from 1 species